rnacentral:lncRNA from 1 species
CCAGAAUAUCAGGAGUCAUCUUCAUUCAUUUAUGUCUCAAGGCUGAUGCUGGCUGAGGCCUCAGCUGGGCUAUUGGCUGGCACAUCUGCACAGUAGACUCUCUGAAUGGGCCAGCUGGGACUUCCUCGAUGCUUGGAGGCUGAGUCUCAAGCAAAUCAGACUGAAGUGCAUGGCGUUUUUAUGACUGAGUGUCAGAAAUCACACAGAAUCCCUUCCGUUGCAGUCUGUGGGUCAAACCAGUCACAAAGGUUGCCUAAGCUGGGCGCAAUGGCACUCACCUGGAAUCCAGGCAACUCAGGAGGCUGAGGCAGGAGGAUUGCAAGUUUGAGACCAGGCUGGGCAUCCUAAGGAGACCCUGCCUCAAAAUAGAAUUUGAAAAGACCAAGGAUGUAGCUCCGGUGGUAGAGUGGCCCUGGGUUAACCCCCAGGACCUCACAAACACAAGAACAGCACAGACUUGAGCUGGAGGGUCGCCCAGUGCUGCUGUUUACAUCUGGAAUUUCCCUCAAAGGCGCAUUUAUUGACAGCCUGGUCCCCAGCCCAGGGCACUACUGGGGAGGAGAGGUGCACCCUUUAAGAGGGGUCACCUUGGGUCGCUGUGCGGUGCCCUCAGGGAUGUGGGAGCCUAGUCUCUUCCUGUCUUCACUUCUCAGUAGCCCCGAGGAGAGCAGCCCGGCUGCCCACCUGCUCCCACCGUGGGAGGCCAACUGACAGGGACUGGAGCCCCCGGCCACCAAAAUAGACCUUUCCUCUUUAUAAACUGAUCACCUCAGAUCUUUAUUGAUUAGUAACGAAGGCUGACACACAUCCAGGCGCAAGGGCAGGC